UUAUUUCAACUUCACCAGCAACAAGACCGCAUCCCCCUUUAUAAGCAGGUCUUUGGAUGGGGAAAUAGUGAUAUUAAGUCUUACCGGAGAAAUCAGUGGAUUAUGGGACUUCCUCCUGCAGUAGCUGUCAAAAAAGUCAGCUGUGAGCUUGGCUCCUCGGCUUCUCUCUGAACUGCGUGUUCACCGCAGCCAUCCGACCUCGAGGGUUGCGGGGGGUGCUGGAGCCUAUCUCUGCUGCAUUCGGUCGGAAGGAGGGGUACACCCUGGACAAGUCGCCACCUCAUCGCAGGGCCAACACAGAUAGACAGACAACAUUCACACUCACAUUCACACACUAGGGCAGUGUUUUUCAACCUUUUUUGAGCCAAGGCACAUUUUUUGUGUUGAAAAAAUGCAGAGGCACACUACCAGCAGAAAUAUUUU